UCCCCUGUAGCUCAAUUGGCAGAGCGUUCGGCUGUUAACCGAAGGGUUGAAGGUUCGAGUCCUUCCGGGGGAGC
rnacentral:tRNA from 1 species